CCUGUGGAGCGUUACAGCAAACGCUAGUAGCCUGUCAGUAAUGACGACCAACGCGGACGCUUUGAAGCAGGAA
rnacentral:ncRNA from 1 species